GUAGGGUGCGAGCGUUAAUCUGAAUUACUGGGCGUAAAGCGUGCGCAGGCGGUUUGUUAAGCCAGAUGUGAAAGCCCCGGGAUCAACCUGGGAACUGCGUUUGGUACUGGCAAGCUAGAGUACGGCAGAGGGGGGUGGAAUUCCACGUGUAGCAGUGAAAUGCGUAGAUAUGUGGAGGAACACCAAUGGCGAAGGCAGCCCCCUGGGAUGACACUGACGCUCAUGUACGAAAGCGUGGGUAGCAAA
rnacentral:rRNA from 1 species